rnacentral:rRNA from 1 species
ACACGUAGGGGGCAAGCGUUGCCCGGAAUCACUGGGCGUAAAGGGAGCGUAGGCGGCCUGACAAGUCUACUGUGAAAAGCCAGAGCUCAACUCUGGUCUUGCGGUAGAAACUGGCAGGCUUGAGGCUGGUAGAGGAAGACGGAACAGCUAGUGUAGGGGUAAAAUCCUUAGAUAUUAGCUGGAACGCCGGUGACGAAGGUGGUUUUCUGGGCCAGACCUGACGCUGAGGCUCGAAAGCCAGGGGAGCGAACGGGAUUAGAUACCCCGGUAGUCCUGGCCCUAAACGAUGCUCACUAGGUGUGGGGUGCGUAGAGCAUUCCGUGCUAAAGUUAACGCGAUAAGUGAGCCGCCUGGGGAGUACGCCCGCAAGGGUGAA